ensembl:lncRNA
CUCAAACUCUGAGCUCUUGAAUCAAAAUUAUAUGGUCUGGUAAGGAGAUGUCCAGUGUGUUAUCUAAAGAUGUUAAUUUAUAGUUUGUAAUGGACCAAAGGGCAGAUGAACAGUGUUCAUAUGUUCCGUGCACAUCCCAACCAGCAGGUGGCGCUGAUUAUUAACAAGCUAAAGCAGAAUGAACGCAGAUAAAACGACAGACGAGAAAUAUACUUGUUAUGGAUGUGGAAAUAAGAGAUGGCUAGACCCUUCAGUCACAAUUUAUCAACGCACAAUGUCUAAACUGCAGAUUUUAAGUGUUUUUCUGACAGAGAGAUUAACAUUAGCUGCGCAGGAAAUAUUUAAGGCUGUGGAAGACAUAUUUUCAGAGUAUAAUGAGGAGAUUUGUCGCUCCAGACAGGAGAUUGAGCUGCUCAAGAGGAGACUGCAGCAGGCAGGAGUUCAGCUGGACUCUGAAACGCAGCCUUGCUCUUCCGAGACUCAAGGACAGAAAUACACCCAGACAUUUUCAGAGAAAUGGACAUCUGACCAUGACUUGAAAGAUACAGAGAUGCACAUGAAACUAGAAGUUUAUACACAGCCCGAGGAGAACGAAGAGGACAUGCCUGUGUGCGGUGAAUCAGCAUCUUUAUCACCAUGUAUGGACAUUUAUCAUGAUCAGACGCCCAGCAAAGACACUGAAACCCAAGUGAUGGACAGUUGUAGUGAGAAUAAUUUUCCCUUUAUUAACAAAGCAGCUCAAAUAAAGAACGAGCCUGAGACUAAUACUGAAACCGGUACCACCUGUCAAAUACAGCAGAACAUCACGAAACAAGAUUUGGAUGAUUCAGGGGCCAGUGAUGCUUCCAGUGACGUCAACAAAGUCAAAGUUAGCCACGGUGGCUUCCCCAGACAUGAGACACAAACAUUUAAUCUGCCCCUUAGAAAUCAAGAGAUGCUGACGAAGCAUCGGAUGGAGCUGGCCCAGAUAAGAGCAAGAUAUCAAAGACGAAAAUCUCAGGGGAAAGUGAAAUUCGCUAAAGAUCUGAACCCAAUAGAACUGAGAAGGCAGCAGAAAAAGUGGAGGGAGAAU